UACCAUCCAGUCAGCAGCAGUUCUGUCGUCAAGAACAAAUCAUUGAUGAAGAGCGCUAAUGAAAUGUGACAGCUUGUGUCACGAACACAAUGACUACAGUUAGCUACCUUACAUACAGUUGCCAAUAAUACUAAGAAGUUUAAAGUCCAUGAGACUGUAGCCAACCUCCCUCGACAUGACUACAGUAUGAAAUUAACCCCACAUUAAACAGAAGUAAGGAUGGUAGAAAAAGCGCUAAGGAAAACUUCCUAAGAGAUGCAAGCUGAACUCCAAGGUAAAGUGAAUUAAUCUACCAGUAUAUUUUUGGAGCGUGGGUGGAAACUGGAGGAAAGCUAUGAAAUAAGGGGAGAAUAUAAAACCUUCACACAUUUCGGGCCGUGAUGGGAAAUGAACCCAAGACCUCAGUGCUGUGAGUCAGUAGUGCUAACCAUUAUUUAUUAUAUUAAACAUUAUUAAAGGUU